UAAGCGCCUUCAUAGACCAGAACCACCUCCUUUGGCGGGUGUUGUGCGCCGAAAUGUCUUCGUCUUCCUCGUUUACACAAUCCCACCAAACACCCUUUUCUUCUUCUUAUUCUCGCCAACAAUUUUUUCUGUAAUUACUGUUAAUAAUAAUCUGUAUUUCAGUUGUCGUUCAAGUUGGUUCACGCUUCAUCCUCAUCGGCUACUUUAGAGCUCGCCGUUUCUCGUUAAUUACUUUGGAGGACAAGGCUUAGUGGGAAGGAAUUGAUUAUCACUCAAGUGGAUUUUAAAACUAGAGUUGCAGAAUAGCUGCAUUAAAAUAUGGGAAAGCAAUUACUUUCUUCCAAUUCCACUGUUCAAUUUCAGAACGCCCAUGGAUGCAUGUGGGGUAUAUUUCAUAUGCUUGAUUACCAUCGUUGGCAUAACGUUAAAAGGGUCUUUCCUCACAAAAGGCAUUACUUGGGAAGACAUGCGAGACAUUAUAAGAGAAGGAACGCUUUGUCCAAUGACAGUGAUAGUGAAGCGCAGCAAUUUGAGAGUAUGGAUGUUAAACCCCUACUGGUUAGGCAACGUAGCAAAAAAGUCACUGCAACUGGCAAGAGUUCU